rnacentral:lncRNA from 1 species
CUGAACAAUUUAUGAAAUACAGAUCAAUACAUAUAUAUAGUAUAUGUGUUGAUAUAAAUAUAUAAAAAUAUAUAUCAUAUAUUGUAUUUAUAUACAAACCCUCCACAUUCUGGAAUUUCCUGCUCACCCUUCAGCUUUCAAACCCCUCCAGGAAAGCCACAUUUCCCCUGGGCUGGGCUGACCCUCCCCAGUCCCCAAGGAUGGGUUUGGGCUGUUUGAGCUGCCCCUGCCCCGUUUCCCCCCAGAGUUCCCGGCCCCGGAGGCGCUGGAGGUGCAGCAGGAGCAGCAGAGCAGGGUCCUGGUGCGGUGGCAGCGCCCCCAGCCCAGCCAGAGCCCCCUGCUCUGGUUCAUCCUGGAGUGGCUGUCGGGCCCCCAGCACGGCCUGCAGGAGCAGCACAGCUGGGAGAGAAUCCCAAAACACCAAACUCACACCUACAUCCCAGGGACAGCGGCUCCCCGGCAGGUGUGGCUGUACGCGGUGUAUCCCGGCGGGAUCAGCGCUCCCCGCUCCAGCCCAGGUGAGCCUCACUGCCCAGGAUGGGGGGAAAUUGCUGCUGCUGCUCCCCUUGGGGACCCCUCGGGCUGGGAACAGAGCACACCCUCCCACCCAGCACGGCAAGGAAAGGAUAAAAUGCAUUUAAUCAAUGUAUUGGUGUCAGACCCACCUCCAGCAGGUCUUUGCUCCCUGCACAGAGCCAGAACAGCCCAGAACCUCAUUUCCCAUCAGCAGAGGCACCUGUGGGAUCAUUGUCCCUUUCCAGUGCAGAAAAGCGAGGUUGUACCUGCAGAACUCACAAUAAGAUGUUGCAGAUAAACCAAAACACAGCAAAGAGCUUUUCCAGGGAGCAGCUGGGCAGAGCCAGCCUGCCCUUCCUAGCUGGAGUGGGAGGCACAGAGCCCUGGGAGGGACAUCUGCAGCUGGGUCAGUGUUGGGGAGGGUUUGGGGAAGGAAAACCUCAUUUGCAGCACUGGGGGUGGCUUUGGGUGCCCUCAGAGCUGGGCAGGAGGGUGAGGCCAAGCUGUGACACCAGAGCAGGGUCUGAGUGCCAGAACCAGCCCAGCACCAGCCCAGCACCAGCCCAGGCUGAGGGCCAGGGCUGGGUUUAAAUAGAGCCUGCCCAGGGGCCAGGUGGGGCUGGGCAGGACCAUCAAGGGCUGUCAGAGCCCAAAGUACCUGCAGGUGACACCUGAGAGUGUCCCCAGCUCCUGGCUCUGAUGCCACCUGAGAUGGGCCCUCUGUGGCUGCUCAGGGGUUUCUCCUGGGCCAGAGCAGCCCCGUGGCCCUGCAGCCGCCCCUGGAGCAGGGCAGCUGUUCCCAGGAAAUGCAAGCAGACAUUCCUGGCCCAGGAAAUGCAAGCAGACAUUCCUAGAUGGGUGUCCCAAGUUGGCCCUGGCUGUGGGUACUCAGGGCAGGGCUCUCCUCUGUGGCACCAAAUCAGGGACAAGGGAUCCCAAGGGAAUUGCUGAACUGGCCAGGAUCAGAGGGAAUUGCUGAACUGGCCUGGAUCAAAGCUGGCUGCUUAUCUCAGCAGAAAGAGGCUUCUUGCCAUGGCAGGGCCUCCAGCUGCAGAUCUUCCCCCACUGCAUGGAAAUAAUCAGGGAAUCCAUUCCCAAAGGGUGCAGGCACUUUGGGAAUCACAGAAUCCCACAAUGGGCUGGGUUGGGAGGGACUCAAAGCCCACCCAGUGCCACCCCUGCCAUGGCAGGGACACCUCCCACUGUCCCAGGGUGCUCCAGCCUGGCCUGGGACACUCCAGGGAUCCACAACUUCUCUGGAAAAGCUGUUAAAUAACCUGGGAGUGCUUGUGAAAAAUUAUAGAGCUCACCAGGGGGAAUAAAUCCUUGUUUAGGGUGCUGAGGGGAGGGAGG